rnacentral:rRNA from 1 species
UGGGGAAUAUUGGACAAUGGGCGCAAGCCUGAUCCAGCCAUGCCGCGUGAGUGAUGAAGGCCUUAGGGUUGUAAAGCUCUUUUAGCAGGGAAGAUAAUGACGGUACCUGCAGAAAAAGCCCCGGCUAACUUCGUGCCAGCAGCCGCGGUAAUACGAAGGGGGCUAGCGUUGCUCGGAAUUACUGGGCGUAAAGCGCACGUAGGCGGACUCUUAAGUCGGUGGUGAAAGCCUGGAGCUCAACUCCAGAACUGCCUUUGAUACUGGAAGUCUUGAGUUCGGGAGAGGUGAGUGGAACUGCGAGUGUAGAGGUGAAAUUCGUAGAUAUUCGCAAGAACACCGGUGGCGAAGGCGGCUCACUGGCCCGAUACUGACGCUGAGGCACGAAAGCGUGGGGAGCAAACA